rnacentral:ribozyme from 1 species
AUUGAAAGUUUGAGGCCAUAGCAGAAGUGUUCAUGGUGCAGCCUGUCAGAUUCUAGCAGAAUUUGCAGAUUUGUUCA